rnacentral:rRNA from 1 species
GACGAACGCUGGCGGCGUGCUUAACACAUGCAAGUCGAGCGGAGCGGCGAACGGGUGAGUAACGCGUGAGUAACUGCCCCCCUCUCUGGGAUAACAGUUGGACACGGCUGCUAAUAACGGAUAGUGGGGGAUGACUCGCGUCCUAUCAGCUUGGUGGUGGGGUAGUGGCCUACCAAGGAGACGACGGGUAGCCGGCCUGAGAGGGGGACCGGCCACAGUGGUCUGAGAUACGGACCAAAAUCCUACGGGAGGCAGCAGGGGGGAAUAUUGCACAAUGGGGGAAACCCUGAUGCAGCAACGCGCGGGCGGGAUGACGGCCUGCGGGUUGUAAAGCGCUUUCAGCCAUGACGCGGUAGUGGCAGAAGAAGCACCGGCUAACUACGUGCCAGCCGCCGCGGUAAUUC